AUAUGGGUUCUUAUGGAUAGGAUACCAGACUUCCUCUGGGAUACACACCUCGAAGUAGGAUUACUGGGCUCUAUAGAGAAAUCCAAGGUAUUUUUCCAGUAUACUGUUAUUUGGGGUAAUUGCUUGAUCGUUUGAAGGGCACCCAGGAGCUGUGUGGAACGUAAUCUCAAAAUGGCCAGUGAAACCAUCAGAGGAUGAGCAAGUUCUAAGGGUGAAACCAGAAGUGUGGCUGCCUGUUCCUUGUUGACUGCUUGACCAGAGAAACCAAGUUCAGGAUCUUGUAUUUACUGAGAUGACUGGCAUGCAUUAUCAGAGCAGCUGCCCCUGGAAAAUUUCUGAAUUAAACUUAUUGAUUUUAUGUAA